AGUGAACGCUGGCGGUAGGCCUAACACAUGCAAGUCGAACGGCAGCACAGUAAGAGCUUGCUCUUACGGGUGGCGAGUGGCGGACGGGUGAGGAAUACAUCGGAAUCUACUUUUUCGUGGGGGAUAACGUAGGGAAACUUACGCUAAUACCGCAUACGACCUACGGGUGAAAGCAGGGGAUCUUCGGACCUUGCGCGAUUGAAUGAGCCGAUGUCGGAUUAGCUAGUUGGCGGGGUAAAGGCCCACCAAGGCGACGAUCCGUAGCUGGUCUGAGAGGAUGAUCAGCCACACUGGAACUGAGACACGGUCCAGACUCCUACGGGAGGAAGCAGUGGGGAAUAUUGGACAAUGGGCGCAAGCCUGAUCCAGCCAUACCGCGUGGGUGAAGAAGGCCUUCGGGUUGUAAAGCCCUUUUGUUGGGAAAGAAAAGCAGCAGGUUAAUACCCCGCUGUGCUGACGGUACCCAAAGAAUAAGCACCGGCUAACUUCGUG
rnacentral:rRNA from 1 species